UACGUAGGGCGCAAGCGUUGUCCGGAAUUAUUGGGCGUAAAGAGCUCGUAGGCGGUUUGUCGCGUCUGCUGUGAAAACCUAAGGCUCAACCUUGGGCUUGCAGUGGGUACGGGCAGACUAGAGUGCGGUAGGGGAGACUGGAAUUCCUGGUGUAGCGGUGAAAUGCGCAGAUAUCUGGAGGAACACCGGUGGCGAAGGCGGCAUCCUGGACCGGUAUUGACGGCUGAGGGAGCGAAAAGCCAGGG
rnacentral:rRNA from 1 species